GCUAGGUUCUUUCAAAGCAAAAAUCCCAGCAUCAUCCAUAGCUGUAAGAAAAUUUGAAAAAAAAAAAAACCAGACAUGGAAGCCACUGCUGUUUAUAGCAGCAAAGGAAGUCCAUUUCUUUUUUCCUCUAGGAUUACAACUAAAAAAUCAUUUAAAUCAUCACAAAAUGCUGCAACUUUCUCACCUUUUCUCAUUCAAUCCAUGGCUACUCAGAAACCAUUGCCUUCAGGUGCCAAAACUGUUGGUUCUAGAAAGGGCUCGAACUCGACCGUUUUUCCGCUCGGCGAGCCAGGGCCAAGGAACAGCACAGUGGUGACACAACCAGUGAAGCUACUGACAAAUGUAGAGAAACUGAAACUGCUAACCAAAGCAGAGAAAGCAGGGCUACUAUCCGCGGCAGAGAAGUUCGGGUUAUCGUUAUCGUCCAUAGAGAAACUCGGGGUCCUAUCCAAGGCCGAAGAGUUCGGGGUGUUGUCGGCGGCGACAGACCCUGGAACUCCAGGAGCACUAUUGACACUAAGCGUGGGAUUACUGCUAUUGGGUCCAUCAUGUGUUUACCUUGUGCCUGAAGAUAACUUGGGGGAAAUAGUGUUGCAGGUUGUGGUGGCACUUGUAUGUGUUGCUGGUGGAUCAGCAGCUUUUGCUGCUUCAAAUCUUGUUUCAAAUUUGCAGAAAUCAAGCUGAAAAUUUGGAUUUCAAGGAAGCAAAAUCUUGCAUCAAGCUAUAUUUGCGGGCUGGGCAAAAAUUGGGCCCUACAGCUGCCCCUCUUUGCUCGUUGUCGUGUAACGGGAACAGAACAAAGACUAUAAGCCCAAUUGUGCCCAGUCAAUAGAUUGAAGAUUACAGAUCUUGCCUCCCUAAGCAGUAGAGGAGCAGAUCGAAGAUGGCGGAUUUUACCUCCCUGAGGUUACAGUGGAGUACAUUGAAGCCAGUAAUUCUAUCUCCCUGGGCAACAGUGGAAUAGAUUGAAGAUUACUCGGCGAUUUCGGCGAAAAGGUAAGUUUCCUCUUCCCUCUUUUCUUUAUAUUUUUAAUGUAAAAAAAAUAAAUCGAAACAAAAAUAAAAGACCAAAUAUAGUGGCCCAAAAAUUAAUUAAUUACAGGCCCAAAAUAAUGUCAGCCCAACAAGCCCAAACCUUAACCAAUUGAAAGGGGGUUGCUAGUCAACAAAGUUCAAUGAGACAGGAAUCUGGAGUGAAACCAGGUACUGAGAAGCUCCAGUUCACGCCAAUUCCGAUGUCGUAUAAGGAGCUGUAUCAAAGCUUAUUUGAUGGUCUAAGGCGCCCUUUGCGGGACUUUGCAGGUUUGAAAGUAACAUGCCACACCCAAUACGUUAGGGCACGACAAUUAACCUGGAAACCAACCAACCAACCCAACACCGAUACGGCACUCGGGCAAAGACGAAAGAUAUGGAUCAGAGAUUGGAAAAGCUCGAACAGUAUCAGAAGGAGAUGCAGGACCGACUUCAGCUACAGGUGCAGGAGCGGUUAGACAAGAUGAAAGAUGUCUGAGAAGAUGCGAGAAUCCCAAGAAGAUAUAGUGACAAAGUUAACCAGCACCAACUCGGCGAUUUCGGCGAAAAGACGUGAGCUGCUAGUUGAAAAACUCAUCAACAUGGGUGUUGUCAAGUUGGGUGACUCAUCAAGUGCAGAAAAUCCGUUACUCAAUCAUGAUUGAGGAUGGAGGCACUGAAUGUAUGAAGAAGUGGUGAAAAAUUUGCACAUCGAUGCCAUAUAUGCAGACACAUUUUAAAAGGAUCCUUGUUAGAUAUUCGCCACUCAAAUCCCUUUUGGUCUAAGGCGCCCUUUGCAGGACUUUGCAGGUUUAUCAUCCAUCUCGCUCAAAAUCAAAGCUCCUUUGGGGAAAAAAAAAACCUUCUCUAUAAUCAUAAGGUUCUUCCGGAACGGAAACAAUGGAGGACCGAAAGGGAAAUUAUUUCCACCUUCCCAAAACGCUGCGCAGAGAUGGGCCAAAUUGAAACAAAAACGAAAUAUGCGGCUUAAUUUUUAAAAAAAUAACAAAAUGGGCUUGAUUGAAGCGCGUCGCAAGCAGGAGGGGCCAAUUGCGCAAAUUUACCCUUUAAGGCCAGAACGCUCGAAUCCUCCCCUCCGGGUCGGGUCACUGCGCGGCUCAUGUCCUCCUAAACGGCGCCGUUUUACGUUUUGUUUUAAAUUAAAAAAAUAGAAAAAGAAUUAGGGAAAAAUCUGUUUUCCCUUUCCUUGAAGCAGACUGCUUCUUUAGGGUUUUAUCAACCCUUCAGCGCCGCCGUUUUCAAGAACCCAUACGGCCUCCGUUGAUGCCCGGUCUCCAAUCGCGACGGAGAGGGCACCAACUCGGCGAUUUCGGCGAAAAAGUACGAAAGUAGUGGAGGAGGCGCACGUGCGCGGAGGGUCGUUCUACGAUAUUCACGGCGGCGUGCAGGGGCGAAUCGCUACAGCGGCUACUAGGGUUUUUGUUUUUGAUUUGGCUGAAAAUUUGUUAAGCUUUGGGCUUGCUAGGCUGUUAGUAUUUUGGGCUUGUAAUUAAGGUUAAUAUUUGGGCUAUUGGAUUGGGGCUUUGGUUUGUACGGGCCACUGUUAUUUGUAUUUGUUUUUAUUAUUUAGUUGUAUUAUUUGUAUAUGGGCUGGGCAAAAAUUGGGCCCUACAACUACCCCUCUUUGCUCGUUGUCGUGUAACGGGAACAGAGCAAAGACUAUAAGCCCAAUUGUGCCCAGUCUUACUGAGCCUCGACUUCUUCAAUGCUUCUCUACUUCAAAUAGCCUCGUUCCUUCU